AGUUCAUCAGAUUUUAGGCCGAGUUAAGGAGUUUUGAAGGUAAAGGAAGCCUUCCCACAACUCCCCGAGGCCUCUAGGACAUUUUUGAAGAAGCUUGGACAUCGAAACAACCGAGUUUCGAGGAGUUCACUUUUGGCCAGAACUUUCGAGGCGUUUUUCGGCUACCUCCGUCCACUUUUUGGACUCCAAAUAGGUAUAACCCGAUUCUACUCUUCAUGAGCUUCAAAUCCAUAUAAAGUAGGUUGAAAAUGGAUGAGAAAUGAAGAAGUUAUGCUUAUUUGAAAAUUUUCCAGAAACCCGGCAAAAAUCGAGUUGCAGACGGUGACAACGACGAGGGCAAUCGGAGAAGGUGACCAAAUAUUCCGUCAGAGUUGACAGAAUAUUCCUGACAAUAUCAGGUAACGCCAUUAAUCUCUGUUAGCAUUUAAUGAAAUAUUCCGUGGAAUAUUUCUGACGGCGUCAGGCUAGCUAAUGGCACUAGCCUGCUCGCGGGGGCGUGUCUAGCCAUGCCAUUGUCGGUGCAUGGGGGCGCAUGAAGGGUCCAAAUUUUUUUCCAAAAAUAUGGGGAUAUUCGUAACGUUG
rnacentral:lncRNA from 1 species